CUGCGGUGAUGACUUUUCUUAGGACACCUUUGGAUUUACCGUGAAAAAAAAAAAAAAAAAAAAAAAAGAAAG